rnacentral:misc_RNA from 1 species
AGGUCACUCCUUGUGUGCAGUCCAAAUGCUCCACGGACGACCAGGUCAAGGUCGCCUCAGGUGUCUCGGCUGUCUGCUCUAGUGCUGGUGUUCCUAUCUCUGUUCCCACUCCAGGAGCCUCAUCCGCUGCUAGCUCUGCUGCUUCUUCAGCUGCUAGCGCUAUCUCCUCUGCUGUGUCAUCCGCAGCUUCGUCCGCAGCUUCAUCUGCCGCAUCAAAGGUCUCUUCCGCUGCUUCCGUCGCCUCCUCCGUUUCCUCUAGCAUCGCCUCCGCAACUUCCCACAGCAACGGAAC